GUUCACAGGCAAAGCAAGAUGCCACUAUACAAGAGAACUGAAGCUAAGAGUCCACACAAAACCUCAUGUGUUCUGAAGGUGAUUUAAAUUCAACAAAAUGCCAAGCCAAUCAAAACAGAAUCUGCAACGAAUUUAAGAAAUUUAGAACCCCUUCAUGUUUUCAACAGAGGGUUCCCAGAGUUCUCUGAUACUGAGUUCUCCACUUCACGGUAUGCAGGUUCUGAUGCAAAGGAAAUGACAUUAACAGAAGAAAUGGCCAGUGAUGCUGAGUUCAAAUGUGGUGCGUCUUGGGGAGAGGUUGUAAGACUUGGAGCAAACUGUCCUUGCUCCCAAAGACAACAAAACAUUAAACACAACUCUACUCCAUUCUUUGAGGUCCAUCCUGGCCCACCAAGAGAAAGAGGGCUCUUCUAAGGCAAAAUGGAACCAUGUCCUUGGGUUGACAUCAUAAAGUGCCACCAACUAGAUGGCUUCGGGUGGACAACUUAUAAACACACCGUGUACACAGGGUUAAAGAAACAACCUAAUCCAGUUCCUUGGACAUAGGAAUCUGCAUGCUGCUGUGAAGAUGUCUUAUAUGGAAACAAUGAGAAGAGCUAAAGAAGAACCGACGAGCAAAGCGCUGAGCCCUGAAGACGUGGAUUAGGAGCUGAGACUAAAGGCCAGUACAGGACCUCAUGCAGGAAUAGUCUCUGAUCUAGGGAAGUUGGUCCUGAUACCCCAGCUAUGGUUCAGUACCACUUCAGACAUUUGGGGGUGUGAUGUCUGCACUGUUCCCUCCAUGUGUACUGUGGUUGUCACAUUCCUGCCAGGUUUGCUCUGGCAGACAGCAGCAUGGUGGAUGGCUUGAUUUCUGUGUGAAAAGCAGCCAUAGCCAUAGACAUCCCUAGCUUAUGCUAUGCUGCGCUGACUCAGGACUGAUGCUGGAGGAGAAUCUCUUUGAGGUCCCAAGGAGAGGAUGGACAGCCAUUGUCUUGGGGUGAGUGACAAAAAUCCCUAACCCAAAGAAGGAAACCAGGGCAAAUGUACCUUACUCACUGAUCACAUUCCUUGUGUGCGCUCUAGAUGGGGUGGGGUCUCCAUCCCCCCAACAGUCCUGAGAUAGCUUUUAAUUUGGCUUCUCCAACAGCAAAACCUAGAGGUGGCAUGGGUGUGUCAAGUGCUGGUAAAUCCUGAAUGUUCCACUCUGCACUGUGGAGUUUGUAUACCCCGAAUGUUCACAAGUGGUCCCUAAUCCUCAACAUGAUGACUUUUGAGGUAGAGUCUAUGGUACAGGGGUAACACUAUGAAGGGAGCCCUAAUGAGUGCUAUCAGCACCUUUAUAGGCAGGCUGAAUUGCCAGGCUCUCUCACGGCCAGAAUGGGCAUAGUCAGGAAUGUAUGACCAUGGGAUAGAAAAGUCCUCAACAGGCCCGCAUCUGCAUCCUUAACCCUCAGCCUCCAAAACUACAAAAAAAGAAAGUGUGCUGUUUGAAACACCCAGUCAUGUUGUUGAGACGAAUGACUGAGGCUCUCAAGAUCAUGUUGACAUCUUAAGUGUGACUGAUUCAAAGAUUAUGAAGUUUUCCUGGUAGGCUACAAAUACAGUCACAAGUGUCCUCAUGUGAGAGAAGUAUAACAAAACUCAACUCAGACGGAGGAAGGAGAAAUGUGACCACAGACUCAGGUGGAGAGACGUGACAAGCCAAAGAUUGUCAAUGCACACCACAGUGUCUUAAGGUAGAGAACGGUUCCUCCCUACAGUUUCUGGAGUGUAAAGAAGCUUUUUCCUUGAGAGGAGCCUU